CUUAGUGGCGGACGGGUGAGUAACGCGUGGGUAACCUGCCUUGCACUGGGGGAUAACACUUAGAAAUAGGUGCUAAUACCGCAUAAGCGCACAGGACCGCAUGGUCCGGUGUGAAAAACUCCGGUGGUAUGGGAUGGAUCCGCGUCUGAUUAGCUGGUUGGUGAGGUAACGGCCCACCAAGGCGACGAUCAGUAGCCGACCUGAGAGGGUGGCCGGCCACAUUGGGACUGAGACACGGCCCAAACUCCUACGGGAGGCAGCAGUGGGGAAUAUUGCACAAUGGGGGAAACCCUGAUGCAGCAACGCCGCGUGAGUGAAGAAGUAUUUCGGUAUGUAAAGCUCUAUCAGCAGGGAAGAAGAAAGACGGUACCUGACUAAGAAGCCCCGGCUAACUACGUGCCAGCAGCCGCGGUAAUACGUAGGGGGCAAGCGUUAUCCGGAUUUACUGGGUGUAAAGGGAGCGUAGACGGCUGUGCAAGUCUGAAGUGAAAGCCCGUGGCUCAACCGCGGAACUGCUUUGGAAACUGUAUAGCUUGAGUACUGGAGAGGCAGGCGGAAUUCCUAGUGUAGCGGUGAAAUGCGUAGAUAUUAGGAGGAACACCAGUGGCGAAGGCGGCCUGCUGGACAGAAACUGACGUUGAGGCUCGAAAGCGUGGGGAGCAAACAGGAUUAGAUACCCUGGUAGUCCACGCGGUAAACGAUGAAUGCUAGGUGUUGGGGAGCAAAGCUCUUCGGUGCCGUCGCGAACGCAGUAAGCAUUCCACCUGGG
rnacentral:rRNA from 1 species